GUGCCGUGGCUAGUGGAUAUCGCCAAGCUGGUCGAUUUGGUCACAUUGGCAGUAUUUGUGGCCAGAAAUUGGCAAAUUCUGGCAUCUGGAUGGAGUAGGCACUCGGCAUUGGAGGCAGUGGCAGCAGAACGGUAGCUAGCAGGUAAGUGUAAUAUUUGUUAUGAUUUCCACCUCUACGGAGGGCCUCCAAAGAAGGCGCACAUCCCUUGCAGCAGCAAGGCAUGGAGCAGCCAAUGACGGGGCUGCGAAAGACCAGUGAGAGGACUCGUAUGGAUUCAUUGAAUUAUGAUCAAGGACUCUAGUUCCAGUUCCUAUAGCGUGUCGCAGGCUGGUCACGCUUGUAGAUCACUGCCCAUCAGCAAAGCUCCAGCAAGUCCAAGGCAGGUAAUGCUGAUGCCUUCCAGCUUUUAGUGACCUAUCGGAUGCAGUGCCUCCAAACACUAUAGGGUAAUGCUGAUGCCUUCCAGCUUUUAGUGACCUAUCGGAUGCAGUGCCUCCAAACACUAUAGGUUAAUGCUGAUCCCUUCCUGCGUUUAGUGGCCUAUAGGAUGCAGUGCCUCCAAACACUAUAGGGUAAUGCUGAUGCCUUCCAGCUUUUAGUGACCUAUCGGAUGCAGUGCCUCCAAACACUAUAGGUUAAUGCUGAUCCCUUCCUGCGUUUAGUGGCCUAUAGGAUGCAGUGCCUCCAAACACUAUAGGGUGAGUACUAUUUUUUUUAAAUAAGCGAUGCACGUCAUCAAUUGAUGCGUUACAGCGUUUUAACAGACCGAAUUUUAACGUCUACAAGUACUUUAAAUGCGCUCCCCACGCAGUUCCCCCGUCUAUUUGUAUUUCUCAAUUUUUAAACAUUUUUUUUCAAAAAGACCAAUAUAUUGAGAAUAUUGUGAAAAAAUGUUGAGUCAUUUAUAGUCAAACUAACGGAGAUACAGCG